rnacentral:lncRNA from 1 species
AUAUCAAUGGAGCACAAGCCAACAGCCAGUUCUGGGUUGGGGUCUGGGUAGUUUUAUAUAAACAGAAACCACCAAACUCCCUGUACCUGUGUCCAGUUACACCCUAGCCACCCACGGAUCAAAAUUUCAGAUGUCCCAUACCCUCACUUGCAUCAAAUUAUCAAACUUUGGCUUCUUGAAUGUUCUUAUCGCUUCCCAAGUAGUCUUCCUGUGGGAGUACAGAGCCCUUUUCCUGAUCUUUAAGACUGGAUUGUUGAUUUUCCUGACCUACCCUGAUACAGGCUUUUAUCUGUUUUCCAGGAGAUUCUUACUAGAAUUCCAUUUUUGUGUUAUAAUUGCCAUUUGUGUUAGAAACAGAGUUACUGUUGGCAAAAGUGAGAUCAGGAAUAUUCACAUGGACACAUUUUCCUUUUCAAAAAUCUCUCUUCUAAUUGUGUUAGCUACUCGUCACUGUGGCACAAUACCUGAGAAAAUCAACUUAUGAGAGGAAAGACUUUUUUGACACAUGAUUUCAGAGGUUUCUGUCCAUCGCCAUUUGCCCAAAAGCUCUGGAUAGGUGGAGGUACAACAUGGCCAGAGAACCUGCUCACCUCAUGAUUGGUGGAAAGUGAGAGUGACAGGAGGGACCAGGGUCAAAAACCCACUUCCAGGGCAUGUCCUAGAGGCCCCACUUCCUACCACAAGGUCUCACCUCUUAAAGGUUUUGCUAUCUCCCUAACCCUAACCCUAACCUACCCCCUAUCCCCCCUAACCCCCUAGCCCUAACCCUAACCCAGGCUGGGUCCAAGCCUUGGACACACAAGCCUUCCCUCCACAUCCAGACAACAGCUGGGCUGAACAGAAGGGUGUGUAGGGAAACAGCACCUGGAACAGGCUGCGGAAAACCCCAGCAGUGGCACUGGGUGGUUC